rnacentral:rRNA from 1 species
AGUGAACGCUGGCGGUAGGCCUAACACGUGCAAGUCGAACGGCAGCACAGUAAGAGCUUGCUCUUACGGGUGGCGAGUGGCGGACGGGUGAGGAAUACAUCGGAAUCUACUUUUUCGUGGGGGAUAACGUAGGGAAACUUACGCUAAUACCGCAUACGACCUACGGGUGAAAGCAGGGGAUCUUCGGACCUUGCGCGAUUGAAUGAGCCGAUGUCGGAUUAGCUAGUUGGCGGGGUAAAGGCCCACCAAGGCGACGAUCCGUAGCUGGUCUGAGAGGAUGAUCAGCCACACUGGAACUGAGACACGGUCCAGACUCCUACGGGAGGCAGCAGUGGGGAAUAUUGGACAAUGGGCGCAAGCCUGAUCCAGCCAUACCGCGUGGGUGAAGAAGGCCUUCGGGUUGUAAAGCCCUUUUGUUGGGAAAGAAAAGCAGCAGGUUAAUACCCCGCUGCUCUGACGGUACCCAAAGAAUAAGCACCGGCUAACUUCGUG